GAUGAACGCUGGCGGCGUGCCUAAUACAUGCAAGUCGAGCGAACGGACGAGAAGCUUGCUUCUCUGAUGUUAGCGGCGGACGGGUGAGUAACACGUGGAUAACCUACCUAUAAGACUGGGAUAACUUCGGGAAACCGUAGCUAAUACCGGAUAAUAUUUUGAACCGCAUGGUUCAAAAGUGAAAGACGGUCUUGCUGUCACUUAUAGAUGGAUCCGCGCUGCAUUAGCUAGUUGGUAAGGUAACGGCUUACCAAGGCAACGAUGCAUAGCCGACCUGAGAGGGUGAUCGGCCACACUGGAACUGAGACACGGUCCAGACUCCUACGGGAGGCAGCAGUAGGGAAUCUUCCGCAAUGGGCGAAAGCCUGACGGAGCAACGCCGCGUGAGUGAUGAAGGUCUUCGGAUCGUAAAACUCUGUUAUUAGGGAAGAGCAUAUGUGUAAGUAACUGUGCACAUCUUGACGGUACCUAAGCAGAAAGCCACGGCUAACUACGU
rnacentral:rRNA from 1 species